GCCGUCUUAGCUCAGUUGGUAGAGCGGCGCAUUCGUAACGCGCAGGUCGCCGGUUCAAUCCCGGCAGACGGCUCCA
rnacentral:tRNA from 10 species